rnacentral:tmRNA from 1 species
GGGGGCGACCGGUUUUGACGGCAUGAUGCCAUUGCGAGUAUAAGCAUGUAUGGAGUUGGUGGAAGGUCUUCAUUCAAAAAAUCUACCGAACAAUAUCUGGCAAUACAUCGUAUGCCAUGGCUGCUUAAUUUCGGAGUAAAUUAGCAUUCGCCAUCGUUCCUCUUUUGCUAACCUCUGUUGCGGGAGAUUCAGGAGCGUCGAAAAUAGAGAGGCGUUUUAGUGCGGACUUCUGACGCUAAAAUAGUAAACGAGAAGAUAAGGAUUGGGUUAGGCACGUCGGACGGCUUCCCAAUUUCGAAAAGUAAGACCGAAUAAACAUGUAGAAGGCUCGACAGUAGCCGUGUUCGGACCAGGGUUCGAAUCCCUGCGUCUCCACUU